GUCCUUUUUAAAGUGCAGGGAUUUGAUCGAUUAUUACAGUUAAGAGUUGUGAUAUCAAUGGAAAGAAUUGUUGCAGCUCAUUGUUUGUUAUUCUUUUUCAUGAAAUUUUCUUAAUGUCCAUUAUUUUAAAUGCUAUUGUUCAGGUGAUGAAUCUCAUUGGUGAUGUUAAAGGAAAAGUUGCAGUAAUGGUGGAUGACAUGAUUGACACUGCUGGUACUAUUGCAAAAGGUGCAGCUCUGUUACAUGAGGAGGGGGCCAGGGAAGUCUAUGCUUGCAGCACUCAUGCUGUUUUUAGGUAAUUGUUGCUUCUGGAGCUGUGAAGCAUGAGAACCUUGUUGAGCAAGUGAAGAAGUUGUUUACCAAAUUGUCAUCGAAUCCAACCACAACUUCUGAAUUAGUUGCCAAAGGGCCAGCAAUUUUUAGGAUUUUUUGUGUUAAAAUCCUUUGGUUUUUUAUUUCUCUUAUUUUUUCUUUUUUUCCUCGGAUCUGACAGUGGGUGUUUUGGUUCACUUCUUAUUUUUUGUAUUAAAUGGGGGAGUGGUGAGAGAGAGAGGAGGGUAAUGUUAUUUUGUGGGAAAAUUAAUGCUAUAUUUGUUAUUUUGUGGGAA